rnacentral:rRNA from 1 species
AGCGUACACGGUGGAUGCCCUGGCAGUCAGAGGCGAUGAAGGACGUGCUAAUCUGCGAUAAGCGUCGGUAAGGUGAUAUGAACCGUUAUAACCGGCGAUUUCCGAAUGGGGAAACCCAGUGUGUUUCGACACACUAUCAUUAACUGAAUCCAUAGGUUAAUGAGGCGAACCGGGGGAACUGAAACAUCUAAGUACCCCGAGGAAAAGAAAUCAACCGAGAUUCCCCCAGUAGCGGCGAGCGAACGGGGAGCAGCCCAGAGCCUGAAUCAGUAUGUGUGUUAGUGGAAGCGUCUGGAAAGGCGCGCGAUACAGGGUGACAGCCCCGUACACAAAAAUGCACAUAUUGUGAGCUCGAUGAGUAGGGCGGGACACGUGGUAUCCUGUCUGAAUAUGGGGGGACCAUCCUCCAAGGCUAAAUACUCCUGACUGACCGAUAGUGAACCAGUACCGUGAGGGAAAGGCGAAAAGAACCCCGGCGAGGGGAGUGAAAAAGAACCUGAAACCGUGUACGUACAAGCAGUGGGAGCACGCUUAGGCGUGUGACUGCGUACCUUUUGUAUAAUGGGUCAGCGACUUAUAUUCUGUAGCAAGGUUAACCGAAUAGGGGAGCCGAAGGGAAACCGAGUCUUAACUGGGCGUUAAGUUGCAGGGUAUAGACCCGAAACCCGGUGAUCUAGCCAUGGGCAGGUUGAAGGUUGGGUAACACUAACUGGAGGACCGAACCGACUAAUGUUGAAAAAUUAGCGGAUGACUUGUGGCUGGGGGUGAAAGGCCAAUCAAACCGGGAGAUAGCUGGUUCUCCCCGAAAGCUAUUUAGGUAGCGCCUCGUGAAUUCAUCUCCGGGGGUAGAGCACUGUUUCGGCAAGGGGGUCAUCCCGACUUACCAACCCGAUGCAAACUGCGAAUACCGGAGAAUGUUAUCACGGGAGACACACGGCGGGUGCUAACGUCCGUCGUGAAGAGGGAAACAACCCAGACCGCCAGCUAAGGUCCCAAAGUCAUGGUUAAGUGGGAAACGAUGUGGGAAGGCCCAGACAGCCAGGAUGUUGGCUUAGAAGCAGCCAUCAUUUAAAGAAAGCGUAAUAGCUCACUGGUCGAGUCGGCCUGCGCGGAAGAUGUAACGGGGCUAAACCAUGCACCGAAGCUGCGGCAGCGACACUAUGUGUUGUUGGGUAGGGGAGCGUUCUGUAAGCCUGUGAAGGUGUGCUGUGAGGCAUGCUGGAGGUAUCAGAAGUGCGAAUGCUGACAUAAGUAACGAUAAAGCGGGUGAAAAGCCCGCUCGCCGGAAGACCAAGGGUUCCUGUCCAACGUUAAUCGGGGCAGGGUGAGUCGACCCCUAAGGCGAGGCCGAAAGGCGUAGUCGAUGGGAAACAGGUUAAUAUUCCUGUACUUGGUGUUACUGCGAAGGGGGGACGGAGAAGGCUAUGUUGGCCGGGCGACGGUUGUCCCGGUUUAAGCGUGUAGGCUGGUUUUCCAGGCAAAUCCGGAAAAUCAAGGCUGAGGCGUGAUGACGAGGCACUACGGUGCUGAAGCAACAAAUGCCCUGCUUCCAGGAAAAGCCUCUAAGCAUCAGGUAACAUCAAAUCGUACCCCAAACCGACACAGGUGGUCAGGUAGAGAAUACCAAGGCGCUUGAGAGAACUCGGGUGAAGGAACUAGGCAAAAUGGUGCCGUAACUUCGGGAGAAGGCACGCUGAUAUGUAGGUGAGGUCCCUCGCGGAUGGAGCUGAAAUCAGUCGAAGAUACCAGCUGGCUGCAACUGUUUAUUAAAAACACAGCACUGUGCAAACACGAAAGUGGACGUAUACGGUGUGACGCCUGCCCGGUGCCGGAAGGUUAAUUGAUGGGGUUAGCGCAAGCGAAGCUCUUGAUCGAAGCCCCGGUAAACGGCGGCCGUAACUAUAACGGUCCUAAGGUAGCGAAAUUCCUUGUCGGGUAAGUUCCGACCUGCACGAAUGGCGUAAUGAUGGCCAGGCUGUCUCCACCCGAGACUCAGUGAAAUUGAACUCGCUGUGAAGAUGCAGUGUACCCGCGGCAAGACGGAAAGACCCCGUGAACCUUUACUAUAGCUUGACACUGAACAUUGAGCCUUGAUGUGUAGGAUAGGUGGGAGGCUUAGAAGUGUGGACGCCAGUCUGCAUGGAGCCGACCUUGAAAUACCACCCUUUAAUGUUUGAUGUUCUAACGUUGACCCGUAAUCCGGGUUGCGGACAGUGUCUGGUGGGUAGUUUGACUGGGGCGGUCUCCUCCUAAAGAGUAACGGAGGAGCACGAAGGUUGGCUAAUCCUGGUCGGACAUCAGGAGGUUAGUGCAAUGGCAUAAGCCAGCUUGACUGCGAGCGUGACGGCGCGAGCAGGUGCGAAAGCAGGUCAUAGUGAUCCGGUGGUUCUGAAUGGAAGGGCCAUCGCUCAACGGAUAAAAGGUACUCCGGGGAUAACAGGCUGAUACCGCCCAAGAGUUCAUAUCGACGGCGGUGUUUGGCACCUCGAUGUCGGCUCAUCACAUCCUGGGGCUGAAGUAGGUCCCAAGGGUAUGGCUGUUCGCCAUUUAAAGUGGUACGCGAGCUGGGUUUAGAACGUCGUGAGACAGUUCGGUCCCUAUCUGCCGUGGGCGCUGGAGAACUGAGGGGGGCUGCUCCUAGUACGAGAGGACCGGAGUGGACGCAUCACUGGUGUUCGGGUUGUCAUGCCAAUGGCACUGCCCGGUAGCUAAAUGCGGAAGAGAUAAGUGCUGAAAGCAUCUAAGCACGAAACUUGCCCCGAGAUGAGUUCUCCCUGACUCCUUGA